UACCUUGACAGACUGUCAACAGC
rnacentral:misc_RNA from 1 species